UAGUUAAUCUGCCCUACACAAGAGGACAACAGUUGGAAACGACUGCUAAUACUCUAUACUCCUGCUUAACACAAGUUGAGUAGGGAAAGUUUUUCGGUGUAAGAUGAGACUAUAUAGUAUCAGCUAGUUGGNNNGGUAAUGGCUUACCAAGGCUAUGACGCUUAACUGGUCUGAGAGGAUGAUCAGUCACACUGGAACUGANNNNNGGUCCAGACUCCUACGGGAGGCAGCAGUAGGGAAUAUUGCGCAAUGGGGGAAACCCUGACGCAGCAACGCCGCGUGGAGGAUGACACUUUUCGGAGCGUAAACUCCUUUNCUUAGGGAAGAAUUCUGACGGUACCUAAGGAAUAAGCACCGGCUAACUCCGUGCCAGCAGCCGCGGUAAUACGGAGGGUGCAAGCGUUACUCGGAAUCACUGGGCGUAAAGGGCGCGUAGGCGGAUUAUCAAGUCUCUUGUGAAAUCUAAUGGCUUAACCAUUAAACUGCUUGGGAAACUGAUAGUCUAGAGUGAGGGAGAGGCAGAUGGAAUUGGUGGUGUAGGGGUAAAAUCCGUAGAUAUCACCAAGAAUACCCAUUGCGAAGGCGAUCUGCUGGA
rnacentral:rRNA from 1 species